CAAUAGCCCCGAUGGGAGCGGCAUCCUUUUCCGGUCAUUGAGGCUCUCGAAAUGACCGGAAAAGAUACAGCGGACAGCGGGAAAAAGG
rnacentral:sRNA from 1 species